CUUCCUAUUGCAUUCCGUCUGCUCCUGCCUUCUGCCCUGCAGUUUAACCAGUUCGGGGCUUCCUCACAGGCAAAGUCUUCCUGGGCCAACUCACCUGGCAGGGACCUCCUGUGAGAUGGGACUGGAUGCAGGGUCAGGCAGGGACAUUUGGGAUUUCAACUGUGCCCUGGUUAAUUAUGGGAGUGUGGCAAUUUUCUUUCCUUCUAUGAACCUUCAUUUUCAGUGAGACUGUCCUGAUCUACCCCGUGGAGUAGCUGAUGGGAUUAUGUAAACGUUUAUCUGAAGCUUUUGAAAUGUUUGCCUCCGUUCCUACUCUUCACUGGCGUUCUCCAAAGUGGGAUGUGAGCGUGGGGCCCCUGACACUUCUUUGGAGCACGAGAUUGAUCUUAUCCUCCAUCUCCCCAGUUCUGGGUCUCUCUCCUGCUGGUUCACAGGUUUGAAAGGGAUAAAGAGAAGAUGCCAUCACCAGAAGAGAACUUGGAGACAGAGACUGAGCAGAGAAGGCUCUUGGACAGGAGUAGUGACUUUUAGUCAAGAGAUGAAUCCAGCCUGUGGUACCCCCACAGAGAGCCAAGGAAAUAAAUACCUUUAACUUUCCACCCACUCCCUCUGAUCUCUUGCUGGUACUUUUCAUUGACUGAAUUCAACUAGAAGCUAAGGGCAGGCACAGGGAGUCUGGUGGUGCUUGUUAGCCUUCUGGUGCAGAGAAAGGAUGAAGAAAGGACAUAUGGAAGCUAUCAAGCCAGGAGGACAUACUGGAAAUUGCAGAGCUUUAUAGAGUUCACCCUUCCCCCAUUUUGAUAAGCGUCUCUGGGUAGAGCAGAAAGAGACUUGCCCUUCUGCCUUUCCCACUCAGACUUUGGUGGAGAAUCACUGCAGUGUAAUGAGAAAUGGUCGUUCUGUUAGCUGCAUGUAAGGAAAAAAUGUUGCGAACCAAUGAUCUAUAAGAAAGGACAAUACCAUUUUCCUUAAAUGUUUCUUUUUCUCACACGGAUUUUACAUUGGAGCUAAGUCACAGCUCUGAAAUAGAGAAAUUUAAUAGAAUGUGAAGACACUCCUUACGUUUAGAAUAUCAGAUGCAUUAUGAGUCAGUGCUCACAGGCAGAAUUAGAUAACCCUUGGGGAGAAUAGAUUCCCUUCCCCAUGACCUGUGGGUAGAUCUCACCCUAUAUGAAGGCGAAUACACUAAUAGGGGCCUCUGAGGACUAUGUCUGGUGACCUGACAUCUGGAUGUUGCUUUGAUUGCUCAUAGAUAAGUGCACCCCAAGCCCAGACAACUUGAAACCUAUGUAUCCCUAUAGCGACAAUAAUUAUAAUAACAGCCAGGUCUACAAAGCCAACUGCAUUGCCAAUGAGGCCAUUUAAAAUAUUGAAAGAUACAUUCUAGAACUUAUGAAAUCUCUGGCCUGAUCUCCAAUAUUAUA